rnacentral:rRNA from 1 species
UACGAAGGGGGCUAGCGUUGUUCGGAAUUACUGGGCGUAAAGCGCGUGUAGGCGGGUCUUUAAGUCAGGGGUGAAAUGCCAAGGCUCAACCUUGGAACUGCCUUUGAUACUGGAGACCUUGAGUCCGGGAGAGGUGAGUGGAAUUGCGAGUGUAGAGGUGAAAUUCGUAGAUAUUCGCAAGAACACCAGUGGCGAAGGCGGCUCACUGGUCCAUUACUGACGCUGAGGUGCGAAAGCGUGGGGAGCAAACAGGG